AGCGAACGCUGGCGGCAGGCUUAACACAUGCAAGUCGAGCGGGCACUUCGGUGUCAGCGGCAGACGGGUGAGUAACACGUGGGAACGUACCCUUUGGUUCGGAAUAACGCUGGGAAACUAGCGCUAAUACCGGAUACGCCCUUUCGGGGAAAGGCGUGCUGCCGAAGGAUCGGCCCGCGUCUGAUUAGCUAGUUGGUGGGGUACUGGCCUACCAAGGCGACGAUCAGUAGCUGGUCUGAGAGGAUGAUCAGCCACACUGGGACUGAGACACGGCCCAGACUCCUACGGGAGGCAGCAGUGGGGAAUAUUGGACAAUGGGCGCAAGCCUGAUCCAGCCAUGCCGCGUGAGUGAUGAAGGCCUUAGGGUUGUAAAGCUCUUUUGUCCGGGACGAUAAUGACGGUACCGGAAGAAUAAGCCCCGGCUAACUUCGUG
rnacentral:rRNA from 1 species